CGAGUCGGCCGGGCGACCGCGUCGGCCGGGGCGACCCGGCCGCCGAGGAAAGUCCGGACUCCACAGGGCAGGGUGGUGGCUAACAGCCACCCGGCGUGAGCCGCGGGACAGUGCCACAGAAAGGAAACCGCCACGCCGAGCGAUCGGCGCGGUAAGGGUGAAACGGUGGUGCAAGAGACCACCAGCGUGCUGGGUGACCAGUGCGGCUAGGUAAACCCCACCCGGAGCAAGACCAGACAGGCAGCGUUCGAGGGCGGCCCGCCCGAGCUGCCGGGUAGGUCGCUUGAGGCGUGCGGCGACGCACGUCCUAGAGGGAUGGUCGCCACCGCUCCCCGGAGCGGUACAGGAUCCGGCUUACAGGCCGACUCGUCCC
rnacentral:RNase_P_RNA from 1 species